GACGAACGCUGACGGCGUGCUUAACACAUGCAAGUCGAACGGAAAGGCCCUGCUUGCAGGGUACUCGAGUGGCGAACGGGUGAGUAACACGUGGGUGAUCUGCCCUGCACUUCGGGAUAAGCCUGGGAAACUGGGUCUAAUACCGGAUAUGACCUUCCAUGUAGUGUGGGGGGUGGAAAGAUUUAUCGGUGUGGGAUGAGCCCGCGGCCUAUCAGCUUGUUGGUGGGGUAAUGGCCUACCAAGGCGUCGACGGGUAGCCGGCCUGAGAGGGUGGACGGCCACAUUGGGACUGAGAUACGGCCCAGACUCCUACGGGAGGCAGCAGUGGGGAAUAUUGCACAAUGGGCGGAAGCCUUAUGCAGCGACGCCGCGUGGGGGAUGACGGCCUUCGGGUUGUAAACCUCUUUCGACAGGGACGAAGCUUCGGUGACGGUACCUGUAUAAGAAGCACCGGCUAACUACGUG
rnacentral:rRNA from 1 species